CCUACGGGGUGCAGCAGUAGGGAAUCUUCCACAAUGGGCGAAAGCCUGAUGGAGCAACGCCGCGUGGGUGAAGAAGGCCUUCGGAUCGUAAAACCCUGUUGUUAGAGAAGAAAGUGCGCGAGAGUAACUGUUUACGUUUCGAUGGUAUCUAACCAGAAAGUCACGGCUAACUACGUGCCAGCAGCCGCGGUAAUACGUAGGUGGCAAGCGUUAUCCGGAUUUAUUGGGCGUAAAGGGAGCGCAGGCGGUCUUUUAAGUCUGAUGUGAAAGCCUUCGGCUUAACCGGAGUAGUGCUUUGGAAACUGGGGGACUUGAGUGCAGAAGAGGGGAGUGGAACGCCAUGUGUAGCGGUGAAAUGCGUAGAUAUAUGGAAGAACACCAGUGGCGAAGGCGGCUCUCUGGUCUGUAACUGACGCUGAGGUUCGAAAGCGUGGGUAGCAAACAGGAUUAGAUACCCCGGUAGUC
rnacentral:rRNA from 1 species